GCAAAGUUGCCCGAGUGGUCUAAGGGAGCCGAUUGCAACCCGGAUGUUCAGCAGUUCAAAUCUGCUACUUUGCUCAA
rnacentral:tRNA from 1 species